rnacentral:rRNA from 1 species
CACCGCGGUUAUACGAGAGGCCCAAGUUGACAGACACCGGCGUAAAGCGUGGUUAAGGUAUACCAAAACUAAAGCCGAACACCUUCAGGGCAGUCAUACGCAUCCGAAGGCACGAAGCCCCACCACGAAAGUGGCUUUAUGAACCCUGACCCCACGAAAGCUAUGACA